GUCCAGACUCCUACGGGAGGCAGCAGUGGGGAAUAUUGCACAAUGGGGGAAACCCUGAUGCAGCGACGCCGCGUGAGUGAAGAAGUAUUUCGGUAUGUAAAGCUCUAUCAGCAGGGAAGAUAAUGACGGUACCUGACUAAGAAGCCCCGGCUAACUACGUGCCAGCAGCCGCGGUAAUACGUAGGGGGCAAGCGUUAUCCGGAUUUACUGGGUGUAAAGGGUGCGUAGGUGGCAGGGCAAGUCAGAUGUGAAAGCCCGGGGCUCAACCCCGGUACUGCAUUUGAAACUGUCCAGCUGGAGUGCAGGAGAGGUAAGCGGAAUUCCUAGUGUAGCGGUGAAAUGCGUAGAUAUUAGGAGGAACACCAGUGGCGAAGGCGGCUUACUGGACUGUAACUGACACUGAGGCACGAAAGCGUGGGGAGCAAACAGGAUUAGAUACCCUAGUA
rnacentral:rRNA from 1 species